AUCUACAGCCAUGCCACCCUGAACGUGCCCGAUCCUGUCCGAUCUCGGAAGCUAAGCAGGGUCAGGUCUGGUUAGUACUUGAAUGGGAGACCACUUAGGAAGACCAGGUGCUGUAGGCA
rnacentral:rRNA from 1 species